UGACCCCACGAAACGGCACCUUCGGAUUCGGCUUGCGCGGAGGAUACGGAGGAUACGGCCUCGGAGGAUUUGGCUUGGGAGGCUACGGAGGCUAUGGCUAUGGAUCCCACUAUCCUUAUUACGGAUCCUACUACGGAUAGAUAAAGAAAGGCCAAGUGAACGCCAUUAGUGUCAUAUGGACAUCGUUUCCUGCCUUUCAGCUGGAUCGACAAAGUCCAUAAGUUGUCAGUGAACACCAGUUCAGACUUGUAUUUAUCACUUUAAACACCAUCUAAUAAAGCUUUAACUCUA